AACGACUCUCGGCAACGGAUAUCUCGGCUCUCGCAUCGAUGAAGAACGUAGCGAAAUGCGAUACUUGGUGUGAAUUGCAGAAUCCCGUGAACCAUCGAGUCUUUGAACGCAAGUUGCGCCCGAAGCUUCGGCUAAGGGCACGUCUGCCUGGGCGUCACGC
rnacentral:rRNA from 1 species